ensembl:lincRNA
AAUUUCUUUUUUUUCGAGACAGAGUCUCACUCUGUCACCCAGGCCAAAACAAGAGGAUCACUUGAGCUCUAGAGUUUGAGUCCAGCCUGGGCAACAUAGAGAGACCCUAUCUUUACAAAAAAUUUAAAGCUUAGUUGCAUGUGGUGGCAUAAGCCUGUAGUACCAGCUACUCAGGAAGCUGAGGUGGGAGGAUCACUUGUGCCAGAAAGGUCAAGGCUACAGUAAGCUGUGAUUGUGCCACUGCAUUCCAGCCUGGGCAACAGAGCAAGACAUAAAAAAAAAAAUUAUUUUUUAUACCAAGAAUUUAUUUACAUUGCCAAUUUUUCCUAGGUACAAAUGAUGCAAAAUGUGCACCUGGAUCCAGAGACAGAUGAAGAUGAUCUUUAUUCUGGCUAUAAUGACUACAGUCCAAUUUAUGAUAUUGAGGAAUUGGAGAAUGACGCAGCUUUUCAGCAAGCUGUGAGAACUAGUCAUGGCAGAAGACCUCCAAUAACUGCUAAAAUACCAAGCACGGCAGUUACUAGACCUAUAGCUACUGGAAAUGGGUCUAAGACAUCCCUGGCAUCAUUCAUAGGAAGACCAGUGACAGGGGCUAUUCAGGUAUCUCUAUUGUAUGCUUGUUCAUGUUGUGCCUUUAUUGUGACUUGAAAUUUACUACUAAAGGUUUUUUACUUUAUUAUUAUAAAAUUUAAAGAAGAUAUUACUCAUAUAGUGACCCAGAUUCUUUAUAUUGUGGGGUGAAGUCUAGACUGUCUUAAAUCUUUGAAGGCGAGGUCUCUUUAGAUAUAUUUACUCAGGUCUCAAAUGAAUUCCCAUUGGGGAGUGGACAGAACUGAUAAUUGCUUAUAUGAUGUAUUCUGGGGCUCAUUUUUCCUGUGCUACCAUUUACAACAAAUUCUGUGGUUUCUCUCACAAGGAUGUAAGAAACCAACCAAAAGUAAGAGAGUAGCUGGCUAAUAAGCUAAUUAAUUUUUUCCAACUAUAAGCCCAGUUAGAUCAAAUAAUUGAAAUUCUAAAGUGGAGAGAGGACAGGAUUGAUACAUGAGGAGGUGGAAGUAAGGAGUAAACAUAUAGUGAUUAAAAAUUGGCAUUUUUAAAUGGGGCUAUAUUAAGGUGUGUGUAAUGUGUAGAACUGUACAUAGGAGCUAGAUCUUAUUUAAGAAUCCUUUUUAAAUGAUUCCCAUUCUCUUUAAAGGAUGGAGUUACUAGACCCAUGACAGCAGUGAGAGCAGCUGGUUUUACCAAAGCAGCUUUGAGAGGUUUGUUACACUGUCUCUAAUAAUAAUCUUUUCUGGAUCUUUUAAUCUUUUACCAUUUUGUGAGUAUAAAUAUUUAAUGCCAUUUUAAAUAAAAUCUAACCAAUGCCGUUGAUUAUAAGAUUGCACCGAUAUUUUAGGUACCAUUAAAAAAGGAAAGGGAUGGCCAGGAGUGGUCACUCAUACCUGUAAUCCCAGCAUUCUGGGAGGCUGAGGCGGGCGGGAUCACAAGGUCAAGAGAUGGAGACCAUCCUGCCAACAUGGUUGAAACCCCACUCCUCUACUGAAAUACAAA